rnacentral:misc_RNA from 1 species
GAUGAAGAACGCAGCGAAAUGCGAUAAGUAAUGCGAAUUGCAGAAUUCCAGUGAGUCAUCGAAUCUUUGAACGCACAUUGCGCCCUUUGGUAUUCCGAAGGGCAUGCCUGUUCGAGCGUCAUUAUCACCCCUCAAGCCCUCGGCUUGGUGUUGGACGGUUUGGUGGAGGCCCCCUCGGGGGCUCCUGCCCCUCCCAAAGACAAUGACGGCGGCCUCGUUGGACCCCCGGUACACUGAGUUCUUCACGAGACACGUAUCGGACACAUGGGUUUACGGGACACGGUCUGCCUCCCCUCAGGGAGAAUCUUUCUAAGGUUGACCUCGGAUCAGGUAGGGAUACCCGCUGAACUUAAGCAUAUCAAUAAGCGGAGGA